GGUGAGGUAAAGGCUCACCAAGCCAACGAUCUGUAGCUGGUCUGAGAGGACGACCAGCCACACUGGAACUGAGACACGGUCCAGACUCCUACGGGAGGCAGCAGUGGGGAAUUUUGGACAAUGGACGCAAGUCUGAUCCAGCCAUUCCGCGUGCAGGAUGAAGGCCCUCGGGUUGUAAACUGCUUUGUACGGAACGAAAAGGUUUGUCUUAAUACGAUGAGCUCAUGACGGUACCGUAAGAAUAAGCACCGGCUAACUACGUG
rnacentral:rRNA from 1 species